UAGUCUUCUUGGUAACGAGCCCGGUGGAUGGAUUGAACCCAGAGUGUAGCAAUCUCUUCUCUUCCUUUUUUUCUUUUUCUUUUCCCUUCGAACGUUCCUAAUCGCCUGGUGGUGGAAUUUUACCUUCUUCGGCUAUUCUGCGGACACUCUCCGGUGCGUCUGCAGCGGGAUGUAGCUAGCAUAGCGCCAAAGAGCUUGGAGGUUUAUCUAAUGGCAUAAAAGUUUCAGUGGCAGCAACAUAUGGAGAUGGAGGUUUGGACAAUGCCAUUCCUGUUCUGCCGAUUCUUUUUCCCCUUUGUCUGGUGGUGUUUUGUAAUCCAUAACAUUUUGUUAAUCUUUUUUUUGUAUUUUCUCCUCCCAAUAAAGAUGGGGAUCGACAUCAUCCAAUUUAACCAUCUUUUUAUGUUGCCUGGUUUCUCCAGUAUAUACAUAUAUGUAUGUCUGAGUGCUCAUCUCUGUCUUCAGAAUAAUACUAGCAUUGUCUGAAUUUGAUCCAACUGCUCAUCUCAAGGCUGGCACACAGUGUACAAAAAUCCACCAUUGUCAUCUGCUCUGCUCUGCUAUGAAACUCCACAGUCUUGCUAGUUACAGUACUACUGUACCUUACAACUAUAUUUUGUCAGACGACAUCAUCGAAGCUACCCUUGCCGUCAGCGGCGUCGGAGAGUUGUUUCCGGCGACUGCCCCCUCUCACUGCUGGCAGCAGCGGGGCGGCGUCGUACUCGGAGACGGCCGUCUUCUCGUCGACGGUUUUCCGGUGCGCCUGCUCGCACCGCAGCAGUAUCUGCAGCACGUCCUUCAUGGUCGGCCGCGUCGACGGCUGGGCGCCGGUGCAGAUGAUGCCGAGCUUGAACACGACCUCAAAGUCGUCACUUUGCCUGGCGUCGCCGAUGCACUCGUCCGCCGCGUCGGCGAUGCUCUUCCCCGACUGCAGGUGCCGCCACGCCCACUCCGCCAGCGAGCAGUGCUCCCCGCCGUUGCCGGCCUCCCUGCCGGUGGCCAGCUCCAGCAGCACCACCCCGAAGCUGUACACGUCCACCUUCUCGUUCGCCUUCCUCGUGUACGCGCACUCUGCAAUCAUACCACGGCGAACAAUAUGAGCCACUGAGCUGCAAGAAAUUUCGUCCUUGAGGAUUACCAUCAAGGUGAGGUGAUCGGCGCGUACCGGGAGCCAUGUAGCCGAAGGUUCCGGCGACGGCGGACAUGGUGUCAGUGGGCGUCGUGCCGGCGGCCUCGACGAGCAUCCGGGCGAGCCCGAAGUCGGCGACCUUGGCGUUGAGCUCCGCGUCGAGCAGGAUGUUGCUGCACUUGACGUCCCGGUGCACCACCGGCGGGGAGCACUCGUGGUGCAUGUAGCUCAGCCCCCGCGCCGCGCCCACGGCCACCCUCACCCUCGCCGCCCAGUUCAGCGGCGCUCGCCUGACCGAGGGCGCCCUCGCCGGCAUCGAGCUCCCAGCCGGCGCCGGCCACCUGUGGCCGUGCAGCCACUUGUCCAGGCUGCCGUUGCCCAUGUACUCGUAGACCAGGAGCUUGGUCUCCGCGCGGGAGAGGCAGCACAGGAGCUUGACGAUGUUGGUGUGGCGGACGUGGCCGAGCACCUCCACCUCCGACUCGAACUCCCGCUCCAGCUUCCUCUCCACCUUCCCGCCGGUCCAGAUGCGCUUCACGGCCACCACCGUGCCGCCGCUCGCGCCGCUCCGGCUGGGGCACUCCACGCGGUACACCCGCCCCGACCCGCCCUUGCCGAUGAGGUUCUCGUCGGCGAGCCCGCGCAGCACGGGGCCCUCGCCGAAGUCCAGCGGCUGGAAAGGGGUGAGCUUCCAGGCCUCUUCGGGCGGCGCGAGCCCCUUCCGCCUCUUGGUGUCGCGGACGAUGAAGAAGGCGAGCGCCGCGAUGACCACGAGUAGCGCGGCGGCGGCGGCGACAAGGCCGGUGCGAAGGCCUGGUGAUACCUUGUCGGAUGACCUGGCUGCGCACGAGCUCACGCCGGCGAGGUUCCCCGACGACGCCGCGCCCGUGCAGAGCGCGCGGUUGCCCAGGAAGCUUCGGUCGUAGGCGGGGACAGCGAGCGCCUCCGGGACCUCGCCGGCGAGGUUAUUGGAUGACAGGUUUAGCUGGUUCAGCCUUAGUGAUCCCAGCGCUCGCGGGAUGCUGCCGGAGAGUUGGUUGGACGAGAGGUCGAGCAGGGUGAGCACCGGCAUGGAGCCCAACCCCGCCGGUAUCUCGCCGGUGAGCUGGUUGUUGCUGAAGUUCAUCUGCGUGAGGCCACCGAGCGACGCGAUGCUCGGCGGGAUCGCGCCCGACAGCUGGUUGGACGACAGGAUGAACUCCUGCAGCAGCGGCAUGCCGGCGGCGAGCCCCGCGGGUAUCUCGCCGGAGAAGGAGUUGUUCCCGGCGUUGAACUUCUGCAGCUUAGCCGCCGACGACGGAAGGCUGCCUCUGAACUUGUUGUUCAUGAUGUAGAGCCUCGUCAUGUUCCAAAACAGCGUCUCUGGCAGGGUACCGGUGAGCCCUCCAUUGUUCUGCAAAAGCAGAGUCAUCAGCUUCGUCUCCGUCCAGAGCGCGGCCGGCACCUCGCCGGAAAGCUCGUUGUCUUGGAGCUGCAGGCUUAUGAGCGCGGGGCAGUUGGCGAGGCUGGCCGGGAUCGAGCCGUUCAGGCGGUUGCCGGAGGCGGUGAUGACCCACAGCCCGCGGUUCUUGCAGACCCCCGCCGGUAUCGGCCCGGAGAGGUCGUUGUCGUCGACCUGGAUGUCUCUCAGCGACGGCGAGUGCAUCCCGAGCUCCGCCGGAAGCGCUCCCGUGAGUUUGUUCUCAAACAGCCACAGGAACACCAGCGACGGGAGCUGGGCGAGGCUCGCCGGUAUCUCGCCGGAGAAGCCGUUGCCGCUCAAGCAUAAUUUGAUGAGCUUCGUCAAGGUCCCGAACCUUUCCGGGAUCACUCCGGUCAGCUUGUUGUAGGACAGGUCGAUCUCGAUUAGACCCGCCGCUCCGAUGGCGCCGUCGAUGACGACGUCACCGGCGAGCUUGUUAUAGUGUAAGUACAACACCUGCAGCUUGGUGAGGUUCCAGAUCGACGGUGGAAUGUUCCCGGUGAACGCGUUCGUCGACAGGUCAAGCCACACCAACUCCGACAUCUCCGGGAGGUAGCUCGGGAACUCGCCGGUGAGGUUGCAUCCGGCUAGCCAGACAGUGGCCAGCCUCGUCAAGUUCUUGAACGACUCCGGCAGCUUGCCGGGGACGAAAGGGUUGAGCUCGAGCUUGAGCGUCUGGAGGCCGAUCAGCUCCCCGAGCUCCGGCGGGAUGGUGCCGGUGAGCUGGUUGGUGCCGAGAGCGAGGACCGUCAGGUUCUUGAGCUUGGACAGCGCGGGCGGCACCUGCCCGGUGAAACCGUUGCCGUUCAGGGCCAGGUACGUGAGGUUCUCCCCGAGGCGGCCGAUGUCGGCGGGGAGGUCGCCGGAGAACCUGUUCAUCGAGAGGUCGAGGUGCGUGAGGCCCGUGCAGUUGUAGAGGAACGCCGGGAAGCCGCCGCUGACGCUGGUGUUGCUGAGGUCGAGCGUGGCGAGGCUGGCGAGCCGGCCGAUGGCGUCGGGGACGGGGCCGGAGACGGUGACGUUCGGGAGGGCGAGGGAGGUCACCCGGCCGGCGCCGUCGCAGGAGACGUGGGCCCAGCCGGCGCAGGGCGAGCCCGUGGCCGCCGACCACGACGCGAGCUCCGCCGGGUCGCCCCACGCGCGCUUGAUCUCGAGCAGGAGCUGCCGCUCGUCGGCCUGCUGCGCCGCGGCAUGGUGCAGGUGCAGGACGAGGCAGAGUGCGAGGAGUGGGAGAUAGGCGCGGCGUGGCGACGCCAUGGUCGGGUCGCUGGUUGGUUUCCGGCCGCCGGAGGACGGAGGCGUGCGUUCAGUUUGGUUGGCGGGAGCGGCCUGCCAUCGCUGACCCCGGUGUGGAAACGUGUGGGCGCGUUAUGUAGUGGGAACUGGCCGCGGCCGGUGUUUUUUCCCUUUUCUUUUGUCCUUUUUAAUUCCUUUUUCAUUCUGAUGUGUGUCAUGUUGGAUAUUGUGCUCGUUGGGGUUGUCGGGUGGUGCUUGCUUGGAAGCUUCAAUCUUUGUUCCUUACUUGGUUGUUUAAUUCGUGUUUGCUACAUGUGUUGUUAGUGUGGGGUUUAGGCAGGGUCAAACUAAUUGGACUGAAGGGGACGCGUUCUAGAUGGUUAGCAUACCAUGCCGCCGGCCACCUCCGCGGACGCCUCUCUUUCCCCACCCUUCUCGGCGCCCCCUCGUCUUCCCGCCCUGCAUCGCUGGCCGAGAUUUUAGAAUGGGCCCGCCGAUAUCCAACUGUCUUGAGCCUAUGCACAUAUGCACCUUUGACCUCCCCUUCUUCGACUCCUCCAUACUCUAUGCCGCACCUCGUCAUCAGCCGAGCUCCUCCCCCGUCGUCGGUCGCCGCUCCCUCCUCAAUGAAGCCGAGUGUCGCCUCCUGAGAGUACCACCGCGCCACUGCUACCGCAUCAAGUUUCGUUUUUCACAAAUUGAUCUUGUAGAUGAGUUUUGUGUUAUAUGUUGCAUUUCUAGGGUUCACAUGUGAAUCUUGACAUGGAUGAUUAAUGUGUAUGUGCAUAUGUGAAUGUACGAAUAGUGACUAUUCGUACUCGACUAUUCAUAUGUGCAUGGAUAUGUCAUUUUUUGAGAAUUGUGGAUAUGUGAAGUCAAUGUCAACUACAAUGUAUGUGCACGUCAAUGCCAAUUGAAAUGUCACCAAAAUGUGACAUGCUUCCUCAUAUGCUACUUGUAUCGAGUUGUUUGCACAUGAUGGAAGAGAUCAUUCUUGCGCCAUCAUGAUAUCCUAGAAAAACGAUGUUGAUGCAACUUCAUUGUCAAUGCCACUUGAGGAUAUUGCUAUUUGCAAGCAGUGGUGCUAAAGGAAGUGCAUAAAGAUUAGGCAAUUACGCCCAAAAUGAGGACAUCCAAUUGUGCCUCUUAUGGCGAAUUACUGUAUGAGAUCCUAUUCUAGGCGAUCAAUAGUGGGAGGAGGCAUAUUGAAAAUGGAUUGCCAAGCACUACACCUCAACAAAAUAUUUGAGUUUGAUAGAACUGCUAAGCCUCUUGAGCAUCGGCCGACUACAAUUAUGAAGGAGACAAUAAGUGGCAACUGUGCUAUCAUCAAAUUGAGUAUUGUCAUCCAAGUGUCCAUACCAUAUUAAGAGCAUGCAAGUUAACUAGUCCCUUGAUCAGAUUGCAAUUUUUGCUGUCAUUUCUAUGUGCACUAACAAUUUUCUUUGGUGUAAAAGGAAAAAAAAGAGGACAUCUGGCCUACUUCACUGUUGGCUCAAGUUGAAGAAUUUUCCAAUAUGGCAAGGACUAAACCCUGUCAAACAAGAGAUCAAGGUCCGACAAGUUUUGACGCCAUCCGAGAAGGGUAUGAUAGCUAGAGUCCAACUCCAAAAUCCGGCACCACCUAGUAAGAAGAAACCACUAGGGUGGAGGGCUGAAAAUGAGAAACGGGAGAUGGAAGUAGAGAAUGCACCAUGCAAGAAGGAAUAUUCGGGCUUGUUGGUGGCGAUGAACUGAAAGUGCUAGUUAUCGACUAGANNNNNNNNNNNNNNNNNNNNNNNNNNNNNNNNNNNNNNNNNNNNNNNNNNNNNNNNNNNNNNNNNNNNNNNNNNNNNNNNNNNNNNNNNNNNNNNNNNNNNNNNNNNNNNNNNNNNNNNNNNNNNNNNNNNNNNNNNNNNNNNNNNNNNNNNNNNNNNNNNNNNNNNNNNNNNNNNNNNNNNNNNNNNNNNNNNNNNNNNNNNNNNNNNNNNNNNNNNNNNNNNNNNNNNNNNNNNNNNNNNNNNNNNNNNNNNNNNNNNNNNNNNNNNNNNNNNNNNNNNNNNNNNNNNNGGGGGGUGAAUAGGCGAUUUUUAUCAAAGUCUUCAAAACAUGAGAGUUUCGAAGACAAUCAAUAGAAAUGGACCUAUUGAUAUGCAGCGGAAGGUAGACUACACUAAGCAAGCCAUAGUCAAGUAUACAAUGAAGUGAAAGCACGAAGACUAAUACCAGCUAGGUAGUGAAGAUCAGGAUGGAAGAUAGUAUGAAGCCAAACAACAAUUGAAGUCACACAGUGAAGUCAAACAGGUAACACAGGUAGGCAAUGACUUCACGAAGACAAACUAAAAAUAAAGAGAGGGAGAAGAUAGAACCAGUCGCUUGGUGAGGACAAGGAUUUGUUGGACCAGUUCCGGUUGCUGUGACAACUGUACGUCUGGUUAGCGAGGCUGAGAUUUAGCUCAAAAGACCGUGUCUUCACCUUAUUCCCCUUGAGCUAAGGACACCCAGUCCUCGCCCAAUCACUCUGGUAAGUCUUCAAGGUAGACUUCCAAACCUUCACAGACUUCGUUCACUGGCGAUCCAUAAUGACUCUUGGAUGCUCAGAACGCGACGCCUAACCGGCUGGAGGAUUCACAGUCCUCAAGUGUAACAAGUCUUCAGGUCACGCGGACAGAAAGACUUCAGUGAUGCCUAGCACUCUUUGGCUCUGGGUGUUUGGGCUUUGUCCUCGCAAGGAUGUCUCUCUCUCAAAAGCUUCGGAGGUGGGUUGCUCUCAAACGACAAAAGCCAUGCACUAACUCUGAGCAGCCACCAAUUUAUGGUGUAGGGGGUGGGUUAUUUAUAGCCACUAGGCAACCCGACCUGAUUUGUCCGAAAUGACCCUGGGUCACUAAGGAACUGACACGUGUUCCAACGGUCAGAUUUCAAACACACGCGGCAGCUUGACUUGGGCUACAAGUAAAGCUGACUCAUCCAGCUCUGGAUAAGAUUUGCUCUCAUUGUCUUCACUUGAAGACAUAGGAUUUUGGUUGAGCAUCACUUCAGUCACUCUGACUUUGUUCACUGGGACCCCACUUAACAGUACGGUGGUUCCUAUGACUCAACAAAGAAGAAAAGGAAACAACGAAACAACUAAGUCUUCGCGCUCCAUAGUCUUCACGUGAUGUCUUCUCUUGUCAUAGUCUUCAAUGUGAAUAUCUUCACAUACCACUAUUGUCUUCAAUGUCUUCAUAUAUUUUUAGGGGUCAUCUCCGGUAGGUAAACCGAAUCAAUGAGGGACUACUACCUGUGUUAUCCUGCAAUUCUCACAAACACAUUAGUCCCUCAACCAGGUUUGUCAUCAAUACUCCAAAACCAACUAGGGGUGGCACUAGAUGCACUUACAAUCUCCCCCUUUUUGGUGAUUGAUGACAAAUCGGUUGAAGUUCUCAACGGGGAUAAAAGUAUGUGAAAUUAUAAAGGUUAAAGGUAUUGUAUUCAUAAGUAGCAAAAGGCUCCCCCUGAAGAUGUGCAUAUAAGUAAUUUGCUUUUGGAAUGCAAAUGCACAUGGCAGGUUGUACUUGUGGAGAUCCUCUUCAACUCAUGAAGACAAUUCAUCAUGCAUGAUUAGAUAUAACGACGAUAAUGACAUGCAUAAUGAAAAAUGAACGUCUACAGUAUGACUUCGUGCGGAAUUUAUCAUCGCACAUGCGGAAUAGCAGAAAAAGUAGCAGACGACCAUCAAGUUUAAGUGUUACAACUCAAAGAACCAAAUGUAUCAAAAGCGAGAGUUGUAAACACUAGGCAAAAUAUAAAGCAACCGCCCAUAUGGACCCGCUUGAAGACUAUCAACUCAUAUGCUUCUCCCCCUUUUGUCAGUAAGGACCAAAAAGGUUUGAAGACAUAGAGCCUCUACUUGUUCCCAGAAGGAGUAGGUGAAGCUGCAGGGUCGGCGUUGGGGUUUGGCGGUGCAGAAGAACUUGGUGCAGUGUCGACACGCGCUGAAGUUGGAGGUGGUGAGGUAGCAUCAUCUUGAUCAUCUAUGACUCUGGCAUUCACCGUUGCAGCUGAGGAGGAAUAAUCAGAGUCUUCAAGAGAGGGAGUCCGACGCAAGACAUCAUUCCUUGGAGGAGUGGAGUCAAACUUGAAUCUUUCAGUGAAGCCAUCGUCUUGAAGAUCUGCUUCAGCACUCAGCAAUGUCAAACUCUUCCAUGACCUCCGACAGGUUUCAUGAGUGACAAAUGCAUUCUUGGUGGCAAGAUUGCGAAUGCGAUUUACGUCCACCAAGAGGCUUUGCAUCUGCCGCUUCAGCCAGUAGUGAUGCUUAUCCUGUUUCUGAUGCAGGGCAACGAGAAGCUCUCGGUCAUUGAGAACACGAGAUCGCUUCCGGGGCCUUUGAGCAAUAGUGAUUUCAGUGGCUUCAGUAUGGGCACGGUGAGGGAAGCGUGUAUUGCCAGCCAAAGGAUAAACACGAGUGAUGGCCUGAACUCCUUCAAUGGGCUGUGUGAAGCUUUGGUGAUCAGCAUUGUGAAGAUAAACAGGCUCCUUGGCAGGCUCCGGGUAUAUGGCUUCAACUGACAUAUCAACCUCUAGCAAAAAUAUCAGAUGGUUGCGUGCAGAAGGUUGAUAGUUGACGGCAGAGUGAAGCUUGAUAAGGCGCAUAACCCAUGGAGCGUAGAACUUCAGACCAAAGAGAUCAGAGCCUGAUGCAGCCAAUUGCCUGAUAAAGAAGUCUUGAGCAUUGAAGCUGAUGCCACUGAAGAUAUAAAAGACCAAUGUCUUCAUCGCUCCUUCAUGCUUUGCUGCAGAAGAAUGUCCUUUGACAGGCCAGAGAGUUCGCCUGAUGAUAUGAUAAAUAGUGCGGGGCAGAUACUCUAGGUCUUCAACAAAGAACUCUCUUGGGUAUUCAGCGUCGCGUGACAGAGGCUUCAUCAUGCUUAGCAUUUGGCUCAUGUUGGGCUCUGGCUUCUGAAAGAUGCUCUCCAAUGCAUUGCGGUGAAGCUGACAACCAGGCUCGAAAAGUUCACCUGGAGUGGGCAGGCCAGUUAGCUCAAUGAUAUCAAGAGCUUUGGCUUCAUGAUGGACAUUGCCUGUCAUCCACUCAAGGACCCAAGUCUUCGGAUCCCUGUUGUAGCCGCGAAUAUGGAGGGUAGCAUAAAAUUAUAGCAGAAGCUCUUCAUUCCAAUGCUCCUUAUCAGUCACAAAGUUCAGCAGACCAGCAUCACGGAAGCAGUCAAGGGCUUCUUCAAGGCAGGGCAGUCCAGCAAUGGCUUCAGUGUCUAGACGCAUAUGUGGAAAGAUACGCCCUUGGUCAUAGAGAACACAGGAAUAGUAGCCGCACUGCUGAUAGCUCCAGAACCGAUCUGAUGAAAUCCUUGGCUUGGAAUAGGGGUUCUUGGCACUAUCAAUGAAAGUGUUGUUCGCAAUGAAGCCAUUUCAAUUGAAUGACCUUGGUGAAGUUGCUGUACCUGGAAACCUUGGCAACCUUGGCAACCUUGGCUUAGGCUUCUGGACCUGAGGCCUGUGCUCGAUAUGAUAGUCAAAUUGCGGACCAGCAGCAGGUGGAGGAACCAGAAUGGGCCAUCUAACAGUGACCAGCUGACCAUGAUCAUAUGCUUGCUCGAUGGUGUGUGGUCGUGGAGGCGGUACAGGAGCAGUGGCAGUGGCAGUGGUAUUGACUUCAGGCUGCAGAUUUGCGUCAGGUGCAGCAUUGGCUUCAGGUGCAAUCACUUCGGGCACCACAUUAACUUCAGGCGCCAUAUUAGCUUCAGCCAUGACAACGUCAUUGGCUUCAGUGUUGGUGGUCGCCUCAAUGUUAUCAACCUCCACUCGAGUAGCUGGAGGGUCGGACAUGUUCUCCUCGAGAACAACUUCAGGGUUGGUUGGGGGUGUAGCAACACGUUCUUCUUCAUCUCUUGGUUCUUCUUGGUCAUCGGCUGAUGCAGUCGGAAUAUCUUCAGCCGCGUUGGCUUCAGACUCGGAGUUGUUCACAGUUAGAGAGGCUUCAGGAAAUACUUGGCGAGAUACUAAUUGGCGCUCUUCUCCUUCUGGAACACUCGACAGAGUGACUUGUGGCCUUGGUCCUUUACGAAGCUUGCGGAACACUGGCGACGCAUGUGGAGAUGGAGUUGGUUGGGCCUCAAAGUCAUCACCUUCAAGCACCGGAGCGGUGACUUGAGUUGGGGGAGUAGUUGGUGUUUCUGCUUGACGGGGGGAGUCUUGAGGGUGAUCAGCCCAUGAAUCAUCCUGAGCGAUUGGUGUCAAGGGACGACCAAUGCUGAUGAGUUCGCUGUUCGUGAGAACAGGCGAUGAUACCACAUUUUGCUCGAUCUGAGGAAGGACUUCAUCAUCUUCUACAUUGUCAUGUUGACCAAUGUCUUCAGCUGCGGUGGGGUCAACAACUGGAAUGUCUUCAGCUUCAGGAGCCUCUGUGGAAGCAGGCUCAUGAACUAUCAUACGACGCUCUUGAUGUGCAGAUGCAGGACGAGCAACAGAAAUUGGCUCGACGACAAGGGGCUCUGUGGGAGCAGCCCGAUCUUUCUUCUUGGUUUUUCACUUCUUGGCAGGUGGAGCCUCGUCAGUGGUGUUCUUGGUCUUGCGCUUUCUGGCUUCGGCUUCAGAUGCCCUUGUUUUCUUGAGCUCUGAAGCCACUGUGGGGACCUUUAGCUUUACGCCUGUCAUACUGGCGGGGAAGACAAUGCGAGGUUCUUCCCGCCUGGAUGCUUCAGUUUCGUCCACAGCAGGCUUCUUCUUGGCAGCCAUCUUGGGGUCAAUGCCAGGACGCCCAAGUGCCUUGCGCUUCUCAACUUCGUUGUAAGCUUGAACACACUUGGCAGCCAAGAGCUUCAUGCGCUCUCGAGAACCUUUGGUUUCAUCACGUUUCUUGUGAAACGCCUCCUUGAGCUCAUGCAUCAUUGUCUUGAAGUUUUGGACGUCUGUCACACUGAGCUUGGCCAUAUGCUUCUUGAACUGAGCAUUCUCAUAAUCAAUUUUGUGCUUCAGUUCAACGAUUUUCUGAGCAAGAGCUAGCUCAGGAGCAAUGGCUCCAUGGAAGGAGACGCUGAGGCCAAUGGGGAGUUGGAGAUCAUCAAAACUGAGUUUUGGGCUGUCAAACCACUCGUCAAUGAAUUUGUUCAGAAUGUCCACAUCGAAGAGGGGAAGAUCAUUGAAGAUUUCCGCCUCUUGCUUGCUCUUUAUUAGAAGCUCAAGAGCAUCAUCGCCAAGAUCGUCGUCACUAGACAGAUCAAUGGCGUCGUUCUCAUUCCUGAGAACGGUAGCAGGGGUCAGUGCUUGACCAGUAGGCUGUACGGGCUUCUUCUUCUUCCUAGACUUGGAGAUGCGUGAGAGAUCUUCAGAGUGCACGCUUGGUGCAGGAGGAGCAGUGGCCAGAGGCUUCGCUUGCGAAGCUCUUGGUGCAGCUGAGGGCUUCGAAGCCUUGGGUUUCUUCUGCUUUUGAGGCUUUGGCGGAGCAGGCGCUUUGUCAGAAUCAGCGUCAUCUCCAGACUGAUCCACUGUGGCUCUCUGAGCAGCGAUGUAGGAGAGGAGACUGUCGUGGAAUUGUCACGGCAGAUGUCCUCAAGCUAGGACUUAGUCAUGGAUCCAUCGCCGCUAGGAAGCUUGAAGGGGUUAACGGGACAAGGAACACGAGGGUUUAUACUGGUUCGGCCCCUUACGGUGAAGGUAAAAGCCUACGUCCAGUUUAGGUGGUAUUGAUUAGGGUUUCGAUGACCAGGGAGCUUAGCUACUGUGCCUGGCUCUCGAUCAGAUCUUUCUCGUCCUUAAACCGCUGCCGGGUCGUCCCUUUAUAUAGGGAGGCUGACGCCCAGCAGCUCUCAGAGUCCCGGCCGGCUCAUAAGAGUGUCCGGCUCGGACUCUCAACUAUUCUUGCCUUACACUACAAGUUCUACCAUAAUAAUGAUUGUAACUACGGGCUUUAAGCUAUAUCCGGGUCUUAAGCCCAUCUUUGGCCCACCGUCUUCAAGUUUGGCACCGGGCUUCUGGCAAUGACCAUUAUGAGUAACCCGGCCCCUCCUGGCGGGUGACUCUAAGGUCUAUAUCCUCAACAUUAGGCCCCAGAUUGAUUUGAGCCGGCUCAUGUCAAUCUUCAAUUCUUUCGAUAGAAAAAAUCUCUGGCUUAACAUUGUGCGAAGACCAUAACCCGGCGUGACGUCAUCCUCUGGAUUCCGGGUAAUCCGCCGUGACGUCAUCUUCCAUUAAGCCCGUUUUUUUACUCCGCCGGAUCCGCAACGGAUCUUAUCUUUACUGCCAUCCUGAAAAUCGAGGCGUUUCAUGGGGAGAUUACCACGCCGUGGUCUCCUCGUUUCUCGCGCCCACUUAUGAGCUCGCCUUUAUAAAUAGCCCGGCCCGACGGGCCUUCAGCCACUCUUCUUCCUCCUCGCGCCACUGUUUCUCCGCUCGAUCUCUGCUGCCGUCGCCGCCGCGGGUCUCCUCCUCCUCACCAACUCCGGCCGCUGCAUCAACCUGUUGUGUCCAGAGAAAAACGGUGGCGACCUCCGCGACUCACCAGCACCUGUAAGUUCUGACUGCCCCGUAGAACAGAUCUGCAGCAAGUUCGUCCUGUUCUUCCAUGUUCUUCGCCGCCACCCGCGAGUUCUUGGUAGUUUUCCUUUUUACUGCCUCUUUUUGAUCUUAGGAUAGUAUAGAACCAAUGCGGCGGCUGUUUAGCACUCAUUUCAAAUGCAAGCAGACCUCUUUUUACUGCACAAGAGCCUCGUUCGAGCCCAAGAACUUCCCCUGCGUCUGUUUUUAGGUCUAGAAACUUUCCUUUUGACCGACCAUUUUGAUCCAAAUUAUUUACUGCAAUGUGUGAAACCUGUUUUCACCAUACUUAGUGAAAAACUGCACCUGUUAAGUCUUGGCGGUUUACAUUUCCGGUUUAAAGAAACCACGCGCCGUAGAAUCUUCCGACUCAAAGGAGACCAUGCUCCAUAGAAUUUUCCGGCUCAUUUGUGAUAAGGCCGUAGACAACCGAAUUACUCUCAAUACCUAGGGCGGCUUAAAUAACCCGCUGCACCUAGAUAUAUGUCAUUAGUCCCCUCCAUAAGCCGCCUUUUUAACAUUAAAUUGUAAAUCUUCUCCGGCUUAUAAUUAAAUCGGACAUUUCCUUUUAUUCAUAGGCUGCCGACUUUCGCCAUGCCUCCCAAAGCUCCUAAGGCCUCCAUCACUUGCAAUUGGAUGAGGUCCAAUGUCACCAACGAGACUUUAGCGGAUUUUGUCAAGUCAGGUUACUUGCCCAAGAAGGACGUCAUGUCCUACCGUGCCCCCGACCCAUCAGAGGAGAGACCACAGCCAAGGGACGGGGAGGUGGUCAUUUUUGCGGAUCACAUGAGCCCGGGCUUCGCACCGCCCGGCUCAAAGUUUUUUAGAGACGUGCUGAACUUCUUUGACCUGUGGCCACAAGAUAUAGGACCCAACUCGGUGUCCAACAUAUGCAAUUUCCAAGUAUUCUGCGAGCUUUAUCUUGGAGAAGAGCCCAGCCUGCUGCUCUUCAGAGAGCUCUUCUACCUGAACCGCCAGAACGAGUGCGCCAACGGGCCAAGUUUGGAGCUAGGCGGCAUCUCCAUUCAGAGACGGAGAGACUGUCUUUUCCCUUACGCCGAGCCGCCGAGUCACCCAAAAGACUGGAACCUGACGUGGUUCUAUUGCCAAGACACGUCGCCGGCUGACGAGAGCCCGCUGCCCGGCUUUCACCCCUCACGUCUGGAACCAACUCACCCUCUGUCUGACAAGUUGACUCAGGCGGAGCGCCAACCUCUGCUCCCCACUAUAAACAAGAUCAAGGCCCUCCUGGGCAAUGGUCUCAACGGAAUCGAUCUGGUCCGAGUCUGGAUCUCCUGGCGGGUGAUCCCAUUGAGCCGCCGCCCCGGCUUAAUGUGCGAGUACACGGGCCGAAAGGAUGACCCUCAGAGACACAGUCGCAACGAUCUUCCUGAAGAUGUUGCUGAGGACAUGACCAAGGCUCUCUUGAACGAGAGCUUGGCAGACUGCGGGAGGACCGGGUUAGACCCCUUCUGCAAGAUCAACCCAGCCCCAGUAGUAAGCCGCUGAUUUGAACAUUUUAUCUUCAUCUGCAGAUAACCUUCAUCUGAAUCUUUAAGAAAUCAUCAUUGUAUUUUUCAGGCUGAUGACAAGUUCUGGAAGGUCAAAUAUGACCACGAGGCGGCCAAAAAGGCCAGGAAGGCGAAGAAAGCCGCUCCCCGCAAGAAGGGAAGUAGGCCUACUGCUUCAGAGCUGAUGCAACGAAGUGACAGCUCCGAGUCAGAGGUAACCCCUGAACCUGUAAACUCUUGUUAUAUCUGUUAUUUAUUUCUGUCCACCUUAUCAAUACUAUUCAUCAACAGGAUGACACCGGCGCAAGUAACCCGGUGGUUGAAGAGGUAAUGUCACUUUCCUUUGACUCGGAGCCCUUGCCAAGGCUGAAAGUCCGAAGGGUAACCCGGAAAGUAAGCUUUUCACAUCCUUUAGCUUAUCAAGAUCCUCAAUUUAUUUUGAAGCGACAGGUUCAUGAAAGCCGGCGGCACACCCGGACCAACAAAGACACUGACCUCUCCUCCGGGUUACCUGACGCAUCGAGGAAACGCCGGACCGAGGUGAUCUCAAAGUUGUACCCUUUUCAUCCUUUGGCAGGUGUUAUACGUCAACCGCUCAACUCUUCUGACUCAAAUUAUCAGGAAACUUCCCCCUCUUCUGGCGACUCUAUGCAGUCGAAUCUGCCGGCUUUCAAGACCGUGCCCGGGUAAUGAUGAUCAUCGCAUGUUGUACUUUGUCUUUACUUACACUUUAUGCUUAACCUUUCUGUCUUUUCAGUGCCCAAGCAAAACUCAGCAAAAGGGCAAAGAAGAACAAGCCGGUCGAUGAGCCGGACUUGCCUGAACCGGAGGUAGCCGCUCAAGAACCGCCAGCUGCCUCUGCUCCUGAGGCCGUUGCUCCAACCAACAAGCCCAUAGCAGAAGCGUCUGCUAACCCGGAGGCCUCCAGUUCGGCUCAACCAGCAGAUGACCCGGAUGUGGUAAUCACCCGGACAGAAUAUGUUGAGCCGGGGAGACCUACUGCGCUGGCCAAGUGCUCCGCUAAGGAGGAGUUGUUAGGGCGCCACCGGGCCAAUCUGGACCUCACCGACUAUGGCAAUCAGAGCAUCGGAGAGAUCAUCUCCGGCUAUAUCAGCCAGGUGCACAAGAGCCGGGACGUAGAGAUUGCAAUGGUGAACCAGAUUCAGCAGAAGUCUGAGGUAUCACUCUUCUGUCUUCUUACUUACUGCAUUUUUACCUUUACCAUGCUAGCCCCCAAGUCGACGACUUAUGAAUGAAUAUGUUGUAGACUUAAGUUCCGGCUUACUUCCAUGAACCAGUAAUUUGUAGAUAGGAACGUUCGAUAUGCAUUAGCCCCCAAGUGCCAAGUGUCUUUGCUUGGAAAACGCUUGGGACUUUAAAUUUGCAUAGUAACUGUUCAUGCUAUAACCCGGAAAUUAUGCAGGCUGCUGGCAAGAAAUUCGAAGCUGACAUCGCCGAUCUCAAGACCCGUCUGAAGACACAAGAAACUGAGACCCGGAAAGCAAACGCCAAAUUUGUGUCCAGUAUUGCUGCGCAAGAAAAGCUGAAGACGGACUUUGACGCUGAACGGAGAGCCUGGGCCGAAGAGAAGGCUACUCUGGUGAGCCGGGCCGAAAAGGCGGAAAAGGCUCUGUCAGAGAAGACCGCCGAACUCUCCGGCUUAAAGCGCCAAGUGUCCCAGAUGGUUGCCGCAAUCUUCGGUAAGUCAUUUCACCGGCUUUCAUCAAGGUUAGGAUCUUUAUAUCUCAUAACUCAUCCUUAUCGGCGGCUUAUCAUAUUCUGUUAAACAGGUCCCAGAAGCGCCAACCUCAACCAAAGCGUGGUAACCAAGUUAAAAGCCGUGUACACCCUGGUGGAGCAACUCUACACCGGGUCACAGCGUGCUUUGGCUGUGGUGGCCCUAUCCAAUGAGGUGCCGACUCACCUGGCGGAAGUCCUUCGCCGGCUCGCCGUUCUUCCUCAACGUAUCCAAGAACUGCGACGGGCCUCUGCAAGAGCCGGAGCUAUCGCCGCGCUGAGCCGGGCCAAGGCGUUCCUUCCAGAGUUAGACCCGGCGGACAUCGCCCUCGGCUAUCCAAGUUUGAAGGAAGACGGCACAACCUUUGACCAAAGGGACUUUGCCGCCUGCGUGAAGAUCGUGCGCCCGGUGGCCACCCUCAUUGGAAACGACACAGAUCUGACCAAGUUCCAGCCGGGUUACAAUGCGGAAAAUCAGAGGAUCCCCACCCCGCGCUAUGAAGCCCUCAGCUUAAUCCCGCCAGCUCGUCAGCACACCUUCGCCGCGGAGAUUGACCCGGCCGGGUUAAUUGACGAGGAAGCUCAAUUCAAAGCUCUGAGCGUCAUCGACUGGAAGUCAUCAACUUUCCAGGUCUUGGGAACAGCCGGAGGAGAAGAGAGGGAUGAGCCGGAGACAUCAACCCAGCAAGCAUCUUAACUCGGCAGGCGGCUUAUAAAACAAUGCUUCACCCUUUUGGAAUCGAUGAGUCUUGUAAUAGAGUAGGAUCAAUACUUUAAAUUUGCCGUGCAAUCGUGCACGCGUUGAAUGCUGAAGUCCAUUGAAGUUGUCUCCUCUAUAUUUCUCCGGGUCAUAAUCGAUUAUUCAUUUUCCUUAAGCUCGAAAUAAUUGCCCUUAACUAUCCAGCCUGCAAACACACUUCCGGCUUAGAUAACCCGGGCAAUAAGAUUGGUACCUCAAUUCCGGUUUACCAGUCUCAAUGACGCCGGUUGUAUUCGAUUAGCCCUGUAAAUCAAAGUUAAGCCGGCAAAGUGAAACCCGGCCGUACACACUUUGAAAUAAACAGAAGAAACUUGCUAUAAAUCAGGAAAACUUAGGGGCUUCCAGUUCGAAUACGACCAGAGACCCGUCCCAAAGGGGUUAUGCUAGGAUUCGAAUACGAUCAUAUAGCCCCCAGUGGGUGUGGCAAUGCCAAUCAAAAGGGUAUCGACAGCUAUGUUCUCUUUGGUUCGAAUACGACCCAUGUUUGAACAGGAAGCCCCCAAGUGAUUUUAAGAAUUGUUUAACGACGCUGAUUCGAAUACGAUCCACGUCGGUUCCCAAAGGGGUUAAACUAUGAUUCAAAUAUGAUCAAAGAAAACUCCCCAAUGAGCUCGGCACUUUGCCAAUCAAAUGGGUAUCGACAGCUAUGUUCUCUUUGGUUCGAAUACGACCUAUGUUUGAACAGGAAGCCCCCAAGUGACCUUAUUGCCUAUGGCUAGAUUCGAAUACGAUCAUAAGCCGGAUCCUCCUUCAAGUUAUCAUGUUAAUAAUGAAAACAACACGUGCACAUUUGGAGGAGAAAAAAGGACAGAGGUCCUGCUUUAUUGCUUAUCAUAAUAUAUACAUGGCUUAGAGAAAUAUGUACAUUAUGAGAGCCGGUGGCUCAAGUGUAGUAAGGCCGGAGCUGAGCUAUGUUCCACGGCCGACGGGUUUCUUCCUCCGACUUACGUGAAUCUUUGUGCUCUCGAAUGUCAAUGAGGUAAUAUGACCCGUUGUGCAAGUUCAUGCUGACCACAAAGGGCCCUUCCCAAGGUGGAGAUAACUUGUGCGCAUCAGUUUGAUCUUGGAUGAGCCGGAGUACGAGAUCGCCUUCCUGGAAGACCCGGGAUUUAACCCGGCGACUAUGAUAAUGGCGCAGGUCUUGUUGGUAAAUCACUGAGAGAGCUGCUGCCACAUCACGCUGUUCGUCCAACAAGUCAAGAGCAUCUUGGCGCGCCUGUUCAUUGUCCGCCUCAACGUAAGCCACCACUCGAGGCGAGUCAUGACGGAUGUCACUGGGGAGGACUGCUUCUCCAUGAAGAAAGGCGUGAAACCUGUAGACCUGUUAGGAGUAGUGUUGAUGCUCCAUAACACGGAGGGCAACUCCUCCACCCAACAACCCGGCGUCCGUUGCAAAGGGACCAACAGCCGGGGCUUGAUGCCCUUCAGAAUCUCCUGAUUAGCUCUCUCAGCUUGACCAUUGGAUUGAGGAUGAACCACUGAGGAAACAUCAAGUCGGAUAUGCUCUCGUUGACAAAACUCUUCCAUGGCGCCUUUGGAUAGAUUGGUGCCAUUGUCAGUUAUAAUGCUAUGCGGAAAGCCAAAGCGAAAGAUCACCUUUUUCACAAACUGAACUGAUGUGGCUGCAUCACACUUGCUAACUGGCUCUGCUUCCACCCACUUGGUAAAUUUGUCAACUGCCACCAAGAGGUGGGUCUUCUUAUCCUUGGAUCUUUUAAAAGGUCCAACCAUAUCAAGCCCCCAGACCGCAAAGGGCCAAGUAAUUGGGAUCAUCCUCAGCUCCUGAGCCGGCACAUGAGCCCGUCAUGAGAACCUUUGGCAACCAUCACAUUUACUGACCAAGUCCUCCGCAUCAGCAUGAGCCGUCAGCCAAUAAAAACCAUGGCGAAAAGCCUUGGCCACAAGAGACUUUGAGCCGGCGUGAUGGCCACAAUCCCCUUCAUGAAUCUCACGCAAGAUCUCUUGACCUUCCUCAGGGGAGACACAAUGCUGAAACGCUCCUGUAACACUGCGGUGAUGCAACUCGCCAUUGAUAACAAUCAUUGACUUAGCCCGCCGGGUUAUUUGUCUGGUCAAAGUUUCAUCCUCAGGCAACUCUCCCCGGGUCAUGUAAGCCAAAUAAGGUAUUGUCCAGUCCGGUAUGAUGUGGAGAGCCGCCACCAGUAGUGCCUUCGGGUCAGGGACAACCAAGUCUUCCUCUGUAGGCAACUUAACAGAAGGGUUAUACAGGACGUCCAGGAAAGUAUUAGGCGGCACCGGUUUUCGCUGAGAGCCCAGCCGGCUUAAAGCAUCAGCCGCCUCGUUCUUCCUGCGAUCGAUGUGCUCUACUUGGUAACCCUGAAAGUGCCCAGCAAUGGCAUCAACUUCGCGGCGAUAAGCCGCCAUGAGAGGGUCCUUAGAGUCCCACUUGCCUGAUACUUGUUGAGCCACCAAGUCUGAGUCGCCGAAACACCUCACCCGGCUCAAGCUCAUCUCCUUAGCCAUCCGAAGACCAUGGAGCAAGGCCUCGUACUCAGCUGCGUUGUUGGUACAAGGAAACAUCAAUUGUAGCACAUAAUGGAACUUAUCACCCUUAGGGGAAGCCAAUACGACUCCAGCCCCCGAGCCCUCCAACUGCCUGGACCCAUCAAAGUGAAUAGUCCAAUAUGUGUUAUCCGGCUUUUGCUCGGGCACUUGUGACUCUGUCCAAUCAUUGAUGAAAUCCACCAAGGCCUGAGAUUUAACAGCAGUGCGUGGCACGUAUUUGAGACCAUGAGGUCCGAGCUCGAUGGCCCACUUAGCCACUCUCCCUGUGGCCUCUCUGUUUUGAAUGAUAUCACCAAGAGGGGCAGAACUGACCACAGUGAUGGGAUGACCCUGGAAAUAAUGCUUAAGCUUCCGGCUCGCCAUGAACACACCAUAAACAAGCUUCUGCCAAUGUGGAUACCGCUGUUUGGACUCGAUGAGCACUUCGCUGACAUAAUAAACCGGCCGCUGAACCGGAUGCUCCUUACCCUCUUCCUUGCACUCCACCACCACAGCCACACUGACGGCUCAUGUGUUUGCUGCCACAUACAGUAAUAAGGGCUCCUUAUCAACCGGAGCAGCAAGGACUGGGGGCUCUGCCAGCUGCUUCUUCAAAUCCUCAAAAGCGGUAUUAGCUGCAUCAUUCCAGACAAAGUUAUCAGUUUUCUUCAUCAACUGAUAUAAUGGCAUGGCCUUCUCACCCAGACGGCUUAUAAACCGGCUUAAAGCAGCGAUGCGACUCGCCAAGCGCUGAACGUCAUUUAUACACGCCGGCUUAGCCAGAGAGGUGAUGGCCUUGAUCUUCUCCGGGUUAGCUUUAAUGCCUCUGUCAGAAACCAAGAAACCCAAGAGUUUUCCUGCGGGAACACCAAAAACACACUUGGCCGGGUUAAGCAUCAUCUUGUAAACCCGGAGAUUAUCAAAGGUUUCUCUCAAAUCAUCUAUCAGGGUUUCCUCCUUGAUGGACUUAACCACAAUAUCGUCCACAUAAGCAUGAACAUUGCGCCCAAUCUGGUUAUGAAGACAGUUCUGCACGCAACGCUGAUAAGUCGCCUGUGCACACUUGAGUCCAAAGGGCAUGGACACAUAGCAGAAGGCUCCAAAGGGAGUGAUGAACGCCGUCUUCUCCUGGUCCUUAACUGCCAUUUUAAUCUAAUGAUAUCCGGAAUAAGCAUCCAAGAAACUUAAACGCGCACAACCUGCCGUAGCAUCAAUAAUUUGAUCAAUACGGGGAAGGGCAAAAGGAUCAGUCGGACACGCCUUGUUUAAGUCCGUGUAGUCUACACACAUCCGCCACGUGCCGUUCUUCUUGAGUACGAGCACCGGGUUAGCUAACCAUUCUGGGUGAAAGACUUCAACAAUAAACCCGGCCGCCAAGAGCCGGGCCACCUCUUCGCCAAUAGCUUUCCGCCUCUCUUCAUUAAACCGCCGAAGGAACUGCCUGACCGGCUUAAAUUUCGGAUCAACAUUGAGAGUGUGCUCAGCGAGUUCUCUAGGUACACCUGGCAUGUCAGACGGCUUCCAUGCAAAAAUGUCCCUAUUCUCACGGAUGAACUCGAUGAGCGCGCUUUCCUAUUUUGGAUCCAGAUUGGCACUGAUGCUAAACUGCUGAGAUGAAUCUCCUGGAACGAAAUCAACAAGUUUAGUCUCAUCAGCCGACUUAAAUUUCAUUGCCGGCUCAUGUUCCGUAGUCGGCUUUUUCAGAGAGGUCAUAUCCGUUGGGUCAACGUUGUCUUUGUAAAACUUCAACUCCUCUGUUGCACAAACAGAUUCCGCAUAAGCUGCAUCGCCUUCCUCACACUCCAGGGCCACCUUCCGGCUUCCAUGAACCGUAAUGGUCCCAUUAUGACCCGACAUCUUGAGCUGUAAAUACACGUAACACGGCCGUGCCAUGAACUUGGCGUAAGCCGGCCGCCCAAAUAUGGCAUGGUACGGACUUCUUAUCUUGACCACCUCAAAGGUCAAUUUUUCCACCCUGUAGUUGUGCUCAUCUCCAAAGGCCACUUCCAACUCGAUCUUGUCGACUGGAUAAGCCGACUUACCAGGUACCACACCGUGGAAAAUGGUGUUUGACUGGCUGAGGUUCUUAUCAAUCAACCCCAUACGGCAGAACGUCUCAUAAUAGAGGAUGUUGAUGCUGCUGCCUCCAUCCAUGAGCACCUUAGUGAACUUAUAUCCUCCCACCUGAGGAGCCACCACCAAGGCCAAGUGACCCGGAUUAUCCACCAGGGGAGGGUGAUCCUCCCUACUCCACACUAUAGGCUGCUCAGACCAUCGUAAAUAGCGUGGAACCGCCGACUCAACAGCAUUCACAACCCUCUUAUGAAGCUUCUGAUCUCGCUUACACAGACUGGUGGUAAACACAUGGUACUGUCCACCGCUAAGCUGCUUUGGAUUGGUCUGAUAACCCCCCUGCUGCUGCUGAUGACCCUGGCCAGACUGUUGAUUAAAGCCCCCUUGGCCGUUCUGAGGAUUAGAAUUUGAGCCGCCGCCCGGGCCAUGAAAGCCGCCGGCGCCUGAGCCGCCGCCCGGGCCAUUGUAAUUCUUAAAGGCCUUCAUGAUUGCACAAUCCUUCCAUAGAUGGGUAGCUGGCUUCUCUCUAGAGCCAUGCCUUGGACAAGGCUCAUUCAACAGCUGCUCCAGCGUCGGGCCUGACCCCCCGACUCGGGGAGGGGGCCUCCCCUUGCGUCGCUGGUUAUUACCCUGUGAGCUGGCGUUGGCUACGAACUCUAGGCUGCCAUCGGCCUUGCGCUUGCCACCCCCUUGGUUCCCCGGGUUAUGCUGAGGACCCUUGCCAUUGCCGUUCUUCUUUCCCUUCCCUGUCCUUUCAUCAUCUGAAGCAGGGUCCUUGGUACCAUCAGAAUCGGCGUACUUGACAAGAGCCGCCAUUAGUGUACCCAUGUCAUUGCAGUCGCGCUUAAGCCGCCCGAGUUUCAUCUUCAGGGGCACAAAACGACAAUUUUGUUCCAACAUUAAGACUGCAGAGCCAGUAUCCAUCUUAUCAGAGGAAUGUAUUAUCUCCUUAACCCGGCGAACCCAAUGUGUCGUAGACUCACCCUCCUGCUGCUUGCAGUUAGUCAAAUCCACAAUUGACAUAGACUGCCUACAGGUAUCCUUGAAGUUUUGGAUGAACUGGGCCUUCAGCUCAGCCCAAGACCCAAUGGAAUUCGGUGGUAGCCCUUUCAACCAAGUGCGGGCAGUCCCAUCCAACAUCAUGGUGAAGUAUCUGGCCAUUGCCGCUUCACUGACCUCCAGCAGUUCCAUGGCCAUCUCGUAACUCUCGAUCCAGGCUGCAGGUUGUAAGUCGGCCGUGUAAUUAGGCACCUUCCUAGGGCCUUUGAAGUCCUUGGGUAGACGUUCAUUGUGAAUAGCUGGUACUAAACAAGGGACACCUCCAGUCCUGGUAGGGAUACUCACGUCGACGGAAGUCGUCGGAUAAGCCGGGGGAGUCUGGUAAGCCGUCAACUGAGGCACCUGCUCCGCCUCUUGCCGCGCUCUGUCUUGGUUUGCUGCGUGAAAGGCUCCGUUAUGAGCCGGGCCAUGGCCAGGGGGCGGGUCAUGGCGUCGGACGUUACUUGAGCCGGUCGCUGAGACCAUGUGUCUGCUGUAACUCGGGCUCCGGCCCGGACGAGGAGUCGAGUGGAUCCUGUCCCGGCUGUAGGAGUACGCCUCUUGUUGCGCCAGUGCUGUCUGAAGGAGUUCCCUGACUCGGCGGGUUUCAAUAGCCGUCGGAGAGUCGCCGUCAAUUGGGAGAGCCGCCAGCCGCGCUGCCGCGGCGACCAUGUUCUCCAGCGGGUUAGCAUAAUGAUCCGGAGGUAUUGGUACGUAUUGAGGCGGGGUAGGGGGCAUCUGGGGAGGCCCCAUCACUUGUGGCUGAAUAGGGGUCCCGGACCCGGGCACUAUGACCCCUGGCGGGUUACUAGACCCUGCGCCUGGCGUGUUGAAGAGGUUUCGUGGAUCGUAAACCGGAGGGAGCCGUGAUUGGGCCUUUUGAUGCCUCCUUCUCAUGACCUCAUUGGAUGCGUUUUGAUCCAUCGUGAGCCGGAAGGACUGCGCCUGAAUCAACUGGGUUUGGGCGUCAAGAGCCGCCCUCUCCGCAGCCAUCCUGAUCCCUUCUGCUGCCAGAUCCUCCUUAGCUUUCACUAGAUCUAAUUUUAACUGCGCCACCUCCGCAUCAUGCUGAGCUUGAUCCGCCGGGUCAACCGCAGCGGUCAACAGGGCCGUCAUCUUAUCCGUGAGAUCCAUCAGCACCUAAGCCGGCGAAGGCACCGGGUUUCCCGCUCCAGUAGCAAGGUUCUGAACAGGCUGCGCACCGGCCAUGAAGACUCCAACCUGACUUGGCGGCUCAAACGGGUCCGGAAUACUAUCACCAUCGGAACAACCCAUGAGCCGGCCAUCUUGAAGUUGAUACAACGAGUUUGACUCAUCUGUGGACGACUCGCCGUCAGAGCCGGCGGCCGUUUCAUCACCAGAUCCAGAUUUAUCAGAGAGCCCUCCAUGGAUACAUCCCACAAACGCAUGCUUGAAGGCAGGCGGGGCCCGGGCGGGUCGUGCACGCUGAGCCGUCUCAAUGAGAUCAGCGCAGAGAUCCGGCUCAGGGCCCGGCUCAACAAUCUUACCAAUGAAAACAUGAAUUCCGCCGAAGGGGACCCGGUACCCGUACUCAAUUGAGCCGGCGUCGGGGCCCCAGUUUGCAUCGUCGAUGUAGAGCUUGCCGCGACGACUCUUGGUCAUCCGGCCCAUAGCAUAUCCCUUGAGCCCUUCGAAUCUGCCCUUCAAGAACUCAAAUCCACCGUGCGAUGGCCCCACGGUGGGCGCCAACUGUCGUGGAAUUGUCACGGCAGAUGUCCUCAAGCUAGGACUUAGUCGUGGAGCCAUCGCCGCUAGGAAGUUUGAAGGGGUUAACGGGACAAGGAACACGAGGGUUUAUACUGGUUCGGCCCCUUAUGGUGAAGGUAAAAGCCUACGUCCAGUUUAGGUGGUAUUGAUUAGGGUUUCGAUGACCAGGGAGCUUAGCUGCUGUGCCUGGCUCUCGAUCAGAUCUUUCUCGUCCUUAAACCGCUGCCGGGUCGUCCCUUUAUAUAGGGAGGCUGACGCCCAGCAGCUCUCAGAGUCCCGGCCGGCUCAUAAGAGUGUCCGGCUCGGACUCUCAACUAUUCUUGCCUUACACUACAAGUUCUACCAUAAUAAUGAUUGUAACUAUGGGCUUUAAGCUAUAUCCGGGUCUUAAGCCCAUCUUUGGCCCACCGUCUUCAAGUUUGGCGCCGGGCUUCUGGCAAUGACCAUUAUGAGUAACCCGGCCCCUCCUGGCGGGUGACUCUAAGGUCUAUAUCCUCAACAGAGACCAUCAAAGUUGUCGAAGGGGCCGAUGACAUUUGGAUUGGCAUCUCGUGUGCCAUCAGCCCGCGGAGCAGAAGGCCGUGGGUUGAAAUCGCAUCCGAGACUCUUCUUGUUCUCUUUGGCCGAGUUCUUGGCAAACUGGAAGUUGCGCUUGAACAGAUUGUCUUCACGACACCAUAGCAGAGAAGAUGGGUCGGCAUCAGCAGGCUGUGGUCCACGGACCAUGCAAGGGUAGAAACCCUGAGCAAUAGCUUCAGAUCUGGUCUUGGGUUGAAGAUUUUUGUAGAGAAUAUCUCCCCAAGGACGCUUGAUGGCAUUCUUUUCAGCAUAUUCCUUGGUGACGAAUCUAUACUUGAACCAUUGCUCGGCCCAAUAUCUUCGAAUCCAUUGGAUUCGAGUUUUGCGUUGGCCAUAGCUCUCCUCAGGAUCAGUUUUGUAUAGCUCAUAGAGAUCUUCGGGCAGAUCAAUUGAUGUGCCCCCGCGGCGCUGUCUGCCUCCCUUCCUUGCUGACUAAUCUGUUGCCAUGAAGUUCAGACUGAAUGGCUUCAAAACUGUCAAAGGCUUCUGUCUGCUGGUCAGACAGGAACUGGCUUCGGGAGAGUUGAUAUGAUGUUGUAAGAAUUCUGCAAAUGAAUGCAGACUAUGAGAACCAAGGGAUUCUCCCACGGGCAUGUACCUGUGAUAGCAUUAGAGAUGCGAGGGAAGGGGAAGAGGUCAUAUGCAUUCUCAGAAGAUUUUGAAGAUAAAUCAGUUUAGAAGACAUUGACCUCAUAGCGCGAAGACAUUCACUUAUAUGUUGAGAGUUGGUUCCAGAUUUGUAUGAAUCCAAGAAUAGGUACAAGUGAGGAAUCUAACUACGUGUGAAGCAUAAGUGAAUAUACUAGGCAUCAUAUGAGAUGCAGAACAGGAUAGAUCCAAAUUUGUGGAGGCAGAAACCACUUUUGGUAGGAAGGAUGAAUCUAUCAGAUCAAAAAGACAGUAAAAAGAGGGUUUUAAUUUACCACACGAUGAACUGCUAGACGGAGUAGAAGAUGAGGCCGAGCAGUUCGAUCUUCCGUGCCCUAACUUGGCGACGGAGGACACCUACGGCAACAGCGGAGAAGACCAUGUCCGCGGCCGGCGUGAAGACGGCGUCGGUGAGGUCGCGGCAGCUAAGCGCUUCGUCGCCGGCGUCGUCGAGAGCUAGCGUUGGCGCUAGGGUUUGUCGAGGUGGAGAGGUGGAAGAAGUGUUUUGACCGCGAUGUGAUGUGCAUUUAUAGGGAGAGGGACGGCACAACGCAAUUACGCAGGUGCCCCUGGUGGUUCACAUCUGAGGGACACAUGGCGAACAUGCAACACAUUGGAAGUUGUUCCAUGUUCCCACACACGCCUGGAUUGUCGGGUGGUCGUUCCGGCUUCUCCGGGUUUCAGGCAGUAAGGAUUGAGCAUUUAAAACAGAUUUAAUGUUUGUCUCUGUAUCUUCUGCUGACAAGGACGCAGAGAAGACAUUCGACGGUUUCAAUAGAAUGCAUAUGAUUUGGAUAGAUAGAGUUUGAGGUAGGAAGCAUAGAGAGGUUAGGGUCCGAUCACAUUCACUUAGUCCAAAAGAUUCAAACGAGAAGACAUAGCUAUAAGUGAAUGCUGUAGAGGACAGAACACUAACAUAUGUAUAUAUCAGAACAAGACCAAAUCAACAUUGUGAAGAUAAACAUGAAGUCAUGUUACUGUUGAAGAAAAACCAAAUGCGAAGACUUAGCAAAUGUAACGCCAAGAGAAAAACAUUCCAAACAAAAGUUUGGUGGUGGCGUUACCCACCGUAUAGGAAGUAUUAGACCCAGACACGACGCACAAUUAUCGUGGCGCUCCGAAGUCAAAUUCCGCAUUAAUGUAUUCACACUCAGAGUGUAAGUCUUCAUUGAUUGAACAUAUACAUUACUUCGUGUGUUGCACAUCUAAGUCAUCAACAUGCAUAAGUGUUAGGAUGUGUGCCUGAUCACAGGACAUUCGAGGAUUCCAAGAUAUUUAGCUCACACCACAACUUGCAAAACCUUUUCUCAUCCAAGGGCUUUGUGAAGAUAUCUGCCAAUUGCUCUUCAGUGUUGACGUGUAUAAUAUCAAUAUCUUCCUUCAUAACAUGAUCUCUGAGAAAGUGAUGAAGAAUUUCAAUGUGCUUUGUCUUCGAGUGUUGAACUGGAUUGUUGGCAAUCUUGAUGGCGCUUUCGUGGUCGCAGUAGAGUGGUACUUGUUUCAGAUGGAUGCCAUAGUCCUUGAGAGUUUGCUUCAUCCAUAGAAGCUGAGCGCAGCAAGAUCCAGCAGCAAUGUAUUCAGAUUCAGCAGUGGAGAGUGAUACACAGUUUUGCUUCUUUGAAGACCAACAGACAAGUGAUCGUCCCAGAAAGUGACAUGUGCCUGAUGUAGACUUGUGAUCCACCUUGUCACCAGCAUAAUCAGCAUCCGAGAAUCCAACUAGAUCAAACUCUGAGCCCUUUGGAUACCAUAAUCCUAGUGUUGGGGUGUAAGCCAAAUAUCGAAGAAUUCGCUUCAUAGCUAAGUGAUGCGAUUCCUUUGGUGCCGCUUGGAAUCGAGCACACAUGCAAACACUAAGCAUGAUAUCUGGCCUAGAUGCACAUAAAUAAAGUAAAGAACCAAUCAUGGAGCGGUAUACCUUUUGAUCGAACUCUUUACCAUUGGCGUCGGGACCCAGAUGACUCUUGGUUGGCAUUGGCGUCGUGUAACCUUUGCAGUCUUGCAUUCCAAACUUCUUCAGGCAGUCUUUGAGGUAUUUCUCUUGAGAUAUGAAGAUGUCAUUUCUUUGCUGACGAAUUUGAAGACCAAGGAAGAACUUCAGCUCACCCAUCAUGGACAUCUGGUAUUGCUCUUGCAUCAUGUGUCCAAACUCGUCACUGUAUUUCUGGUUGGUGCAGCCGAAGAUAAUGUCAUCCACAUAUAUUUGGCACACAAACAGUUCAUCAUCAUAUGUCUUCGUGAAGAGUGUAGGAUCUAGGGAACCAGGUUUGAAGCCUUUGCUCUUCAGGAAGUCUUUGAGUGUGUCAUACCAAGCGCGAGGGGCUUGUUUGAGGCCAUACAAUGCCUUGUUAAGCUUGUACACCAUAUCAGGAUGUUUUGGAUCUUCAAAGCCAAGAGGUUGUGCAACAUACACUUCUUCUUCAAUCUUGCCAUUGAGAAAUGCACUCUUCACAUCCAUUUGAUACAGAAGGCUGUUGUGAUGAUUUGCAUAGGCUAGCAAUAUGCGAAUAGCUUCAAGCCUAGCCACAGGAGCAAAUGUUUCAUCAAAGUCAAUCCCUUCAACUUGAGUGUAUCCUUGAGCAACGAGACGAGCCUUGUUUCUGACAACUUGACCAUGCUCAUCUUGCUUGUUGCGAUAAAUCCAUUUUGUGCCUAUUAUGUUGUGCUUGCGAGGGUCAGGACGCUUGACAAGUUCCCAGACAUUGUUCAGUUUGAACUGUUGAAGCUCUUCGUGCAUGGCUUGAAUACAUUCAGGUUUCAUGAAGGCUUCAGCAACUUUCUUGGGUUCAGAUAUUGAGACGAAUGCAAAGUGCCCACAGAAAUUUGCUAGCUGUGUUGCUCUUGAACGGGUGAGUGGACCAGGCGCAUUGAUGCUAUCAAUUAUCUUCUCAAUCUGUACUUCAUUUGCAACACGAGGAUGAACUGGACGAAGAUUUUGCUCUUGCUGAUCAUUGUCAUCGUUAGGAGGAUUGUCUUCGGGCUGAGCAUUGUCUUCAGGUUGAUUGGGUGCAGAAAUGAUAAGUUCCUCUUCAGGCUGUGCUUCAGACGGUAUGAUUUCUCCUGUUCCCAUUAGCUUGAUGGAUUCACUAGGUGGAACUUCAUCUAGCACAUUUGGCAGGUGCUCUCUUUGCGAGCCGUUAGUCUCAUUGAAUCGCACAUCCACAGUUUCAACCACUUUAUAGUGAAAGAGGUUGAAGACUUUGUAGGAGUGCGAAUCCUUUCCGUAACCAAGCAUAAAACCUUCAUGUGCUUUCGGUGCAAAUUUUGAAGUGUGAUGUGGAUCCUUGAUCCAGCACCUAGCACCAAAUACUCUGAAGUAACUGACAUUUGGCUUCUUACCAGUGAGGAGUUCAUAGGAUGUCUUCUUCAGAAGCUUGUGAAGAUAAACACAGUUGAUGACAUGGCAUGCAGUAUCAAUAGCUUCAGGCCAGAACUUUCUUGGAGUCUUGUAUUCAUCAAGCAUCGUCUGUGCCAUCUCAAUGAGUGUUCUGUUCUUGCACUCCACGAUGCCAUUCUGCUGAGGUGUGUACGGAGCUGAGAACUCAUGAGUGAUGCCCAAUGUAUCCAGGUAAAGGUCGAGGCCGGUGUUCUUGAACUCUGUGCCGUUGUUACUUCUAAUAUGCUUGAUCUUAACGCCAUAAUUGUUCAUGACACGGUUGGCGAAGCGUCUGAAGACAUCCUGCACUUCAGUCUUGUAGAGAAUUAUGUGCACCCAAGUAUAUCUUGAAUAAUCAUCAACAAUGACAAAGCCGUAGAGACAAGCAGUAGUUGUGAGUGUAGAGUAGUGAGUAGGACCAAAUAAGUCCAUGUGGAGCAGCUCGAAGGGUUGAGAUGUCGUCAUGAUUGUCUUCGAGGGAUGCUUGGCCCUUGUCAUCUUUCCAGCUUCGCGGGCACCGCACAGAUGAUCUUUCUUGAACUUGACGCCCUCGAUGCCUAUGACGUGCUUCUUCUUUGCGAGAGUGUGUAAGUUCCUCAUGCCAGCAUGCCCUAGCCUCCGAUGCCAGAGCCAGCACUCUGAAGCUUUUGCUAGUAGACAUACGGCAAGCUGUGGUCCUGCUGAGAAAUCUACCAUGUAUAGAUCAUUUUUCCGAUACCCUUCAAAGACUAGAGACUUGUCAGAUUCCAUCAGUACCAGGCAACGAUAUUUUCCAAAUAUCACAAUCAUGUUCAAGUCACAAAGCAUUGAGACAAACAUUAAGUUGAAACCAAGGGAUUCAACAAGCAUCACUUUAUCCAUGUGCUGAUCCUUUGAGAUUGCAACUCUACCUAGACCCAAUACCUUGCUUUUACCAAUGUCAGCAAAUGUGAUGUGACUUUUGUCGGAUGGACGUAAAGUUGAGUCCAUGAGAAGACUUCGAUCACCAGUCAUAUGAUUAGUGCAUCCGCUGUCCAUAAUCCAUUCUGAAGCAUGAGGUGUCAUACCCUACAGUACAGUUAGGGGAUAGACUUCACCAAGAGUAUUGUGAAGCAUAAACAUUUAACGCACAAGAGUAUUAUCAAAGCUCAGAUCAAGGUUAGGACUGAUAGGAUGAUUGGGAAGCGAUUCAGGAACAAAAUACAUAGUAAGACCAUUUGGGCAUUUUAUCUUGCACCCUACAAGAUGUUUUAGGUCCCCAGCAUUAGCAUCAGACGCCUUUGAUUUCCGGCUGGAGACCUUUCCCUGCAAAAGAAAGUUAAUUCUUCUUAGCCACCCACAUCUUCAGGGGUGGCUUAGAAGCAAUGAGUCUAAGUGCAGCAUCUGAGAACUUCGGCUUUGGAGCCCUAGCAAAUAGCCUUGUAGGAGGAGAAUAAUACUCAUAUGAAUAAGCAGAAAAGUUCUUAGUUUUAUGAACAUAGCGGUUUGAAGACACACGCUCAUAUUCAUAAGUUUGAGUACGAUUUCCCUGCAAAACAUUGGCGUUAGGGUGACUCAGUUGAGUCCGGUAUCUGUAUGAAGCCUUUGGACCAUAUGAAGCUUUUGAUCUGGGAUUUGUCUUCUUCCCAGGUGGUGUCAUGAUGACAUUCACAGGAAGAUUCUCAAGACAACUUUUGGGGACCCAGAUCUUCUUCAUAGGUGGCCCAUUCCUGCAGUUAGUACCAAUAUACCUGGCGAACAGUUCAUCAUUCUGAUUCUUGAACAGUUUAUAGUUUGCAUCAAAGAAAUCAUCAAUGAUAACUGGGUUAGCACAAGUGAAGCCAGAUAAAGUGGAUGGAUCCACUGAAGGUCCCUUUGCAGCAACCCAUGUGGUUUUGGGGUACUGCUCAGGCUUCCAGUAGGAACCAUCAACAUUCAUUUUCCUCUCAAACCCAACACCCUCUUUCCUAGGGUUUCAGUUCAGAAUCUGCUUUUUGAGGACAUCGCACAGUGUCUGAUGCCCUUUGAGACUUUUGUACAUCCCUGUUUCAAGCAAUGUCUUCAACCUAGCAUUUUCAUCAGCAAUAGUAGUGGUAUCCUCAGCAGAGGGGUUAGUUACCACAUCAACAGUUGAAGAUAUUGCAACAGUAGCAGCAGUAGAACAUUCAGCAACAGAAGUAGCGUUAUCACGCUCAAGGCAUUUUAGACAUGGUGGUUCAAAUCCUUCCUGAGCAGGACUGAUCUGUUGAGCGCGAAGUCACUCAUUCUCUUUUUGAAGAUCUUCAUGAGCCGCUCUCAAUUUCUCAAGCUCUUGCUUCCUUUGAAGAUAAUCAUAGGAAAGCUUUUCAUGAGUGGUUGAGAGCGUUUCAUGACGACUUUCAAGUUCCUGGUACUUAACAUGAAGAUUUUUUUAUGUCUUCAGUUAAUGACUAAGAUCAGGUCAUUUCCGCGUCCAACAGGUCAUCGCUUUUGUCUAAUAGUUUUUGAGUGUGUUCCAUAGCUUUCUGUUGUUCAGUUGCAAUUUUAGCAAGUGUUUUGUAGCUGGGUUUGGAUUCACAAUCAGAGUCAUCUUCACUUGAUGUUUGAAAGUAAGCAUCGCGUGAUUUUACCUUGGCACCACGUGCCAUGAAGUAGUAGGUGGGAGCAGAGUCGUCCUUGUCAUUAGCAUCAGCGUUGGUGACGGGGUCAUUGUCUUCAGUGUUGAAGAUGGACUUGGCAACAUAGGUUGUAGCUAGAGCCAGACUUGCAACGCCAGGGUCGGACUCCUCCUCAGAUUCCACCUCCGCCUCCUCAGAAGCAGACUCCUCCUCUGAAUCCAUCUCCUUGCCAACAAAAGCACGAGCCUUGCCAGAUGAGCUCUUCUUAUGUGAUGAAGACUUGGACGAAGACUUGGAAGAAGACUUUGAGGAUUUCUUCUUCUUGUUGUCAUCAGAAUCAUAUUCAUUGCUCUUCUUCUUCUUCUUAUUCUCAUUGUCCCGCUGUGGACACUCAGAGAUGUAGUGACCAGGCUUCUUGCACUUGUGACAUGUUCUCUUCUUGUAAUCAUGAGUGGAAGCUUCAUCAUUUCUUGAGCUAGAUCGUGAAGACUUUCUGAAGCCCUUCUUCUUAGUGAACUUCUGGAACUUCUUCACAAGCAUAGCAAGCUCCUUUCCAAUGUCUUCAGGAUCACCAGAACUGCAGUCAGAUUCUUCUUCAGAUGAGGAAACAACUUUUGCCUUCAAAGCGCGAGUUCGGCCAUAAUUGGGACCAUAGAUAUCUCUUUUCUCAGAUAGCUGGAACUCAUGUGUGUUGAGCCUAUCAAGUAUGUCAGACGGAUCGAGUGUCUUGAAGUUAGGGCGUUCUUGUAUCAUCAGGGCAAGGGUGUCGAACGAGCUGUCAAGUGAUCUCAGGAGUGUCUUGACGAUUUCAUGCUUGGUGAUCUCAGUGGCACUGAGAGCACGAAGCUCAUUUGUGAUGUCAGUGAGGCGAUCAAACGUGAGCUGGACAUUCUCAUUGUUGUUUCUCUUGAAGCGGUUGAAGAGGUUGCGAAGAACACUCAUCCUUUGAUCUCUCUGGGUUGAGACGCCUUCGUUGACCUUGGAGAGCCAGUCCCAGACUAGCUUCGACGUUUCCAGAGCACUCACACGGCCAUACUGUCGUUUGGUCAGAUGACCACAGAUGAUGUUCUUGGCAGUAGAAUCCAGUUGAAUGAACUUCUUGACAUCAGCAGGGGUGACACCUUCACCAGUCUUGGGAACACCAUUCUUGAUGACAUACCAGAGGUCGACAUCAAUGGCUUCAAGAUGCAUGCGCAUCUUAUUCUUCCAGUAGGGAUAUUCAAUUCCAUCGAAGACGGGGCACGCAGCGGAGACUUUGAUUAUCCCUGCAGUCGACAUAGCUAAAACUUCAGGUGGUUAAACCGAAUCACACAGAACAAGGGAGUACCUUGCUCUGAUACCAAUUGAAAGUGCUAGUUAUCGACUAGAGGGGGGGUGAAUAGGCAAUUUUUAUCAAAGUCUUCAAAACAUGAGAGUUUCGAAGACAAUCAAUAGAAAUGAACCUAUUGAUAUGCAGCGGAAGGUAGACUACACUAAGCAAGCCAUAGUCAAGUAUACAAUGAAGUGAAAGCAUGAAGACUAAUAGCAGCUAGGUAGUGAAGAUCAGGAUGGAAGAUAGUAUGAAGCCAAACAACAAUAGAAGUCACACAGUGAAGUCAAACAGGUAACACAUGCAGACAAUGACUUCACGAAGACAAACUGAAAAUAAAGAGAGGGAGAAGAUAGAACCAGUCGCUUGGUCAGGAUAAGGAUUUGUUGGACCAGUUCCAGUUGCUGUGACAAUUGUACGUCUGGUUAGGGAGGCUGAGAUUUAACUCAGAAGACCGUGUCUUCACCUUAUUCCCCUUGAGCUAAGGACACCCAGUCCUCGCCCAAUCACUCUGGUAAGUCUUCAAGGUAGACUUCCAAACCUUCACAGACUUUGUUCACCGGCGAUCCACAAUGACUCUUGGAUGCUCAGAACACGACGCCUAACCGGCUGGAGGAUUCACAGUCCUCAAGUGUAACAAGUCUUCAGGUCACGCGGACAGAAAGACUUCAGUGAUGCCUAACACUCUUUGGCUCUGGGUGUUUGGGCUUUGUCCUCGCAAGGAUUUCUCUGUCUCAAAAGCUUCGGAGGUGGGUUGCUCUCAACGACAAAAGCCGUGCACUAACUCUGAGCAGCCACCAAUUUAUGGUGUAGGGGGUGGGUUAUUUAUAGCCACUAGGCAACCCGACCUGAUUUGUCCGAAAUGACCCUGGAUCACUAAGAAACUGACACGUGUUCCAACGGUCAGAUUUCAAACACACGCGGCAGCUUGACUUGGGCUACAAGUAAAGCUGACUCAUCCAGCUCUGGAUAAGAUUUGCUCUCUUUGUCUUCGCUCGAAGACAUAGGAUUUUGGUUGAGCAUCACUUCAGUCACUCUGACUUUGUUCACUGGGACCCCACUUAACAGUACGGUGUUUCCUAUGACUCAACAAAGAAGAAAAGGAAACAACGAAACAACUAAGUCUUCGCGCUCCAUAGUCUUCACGUGAUGUCUUCUCUUGUCAUAGUCUUCAAUGUGAAUAUCUUCACAUACCACCAUUGUCUUCAAUGUCUUCAUACAUUUUUAGGGGUCAUCUCCGGUAGGUAAACCGAAUCAAUGAGGGACUACUACCUGUGUUAUCCUGCAAUUCUCACAAACACAUUAGUCCCUCAACCAGGUUUGUCGUCAAUACUCCAAAACCAACUAGGGGUGGCACUAGAUGCACUUACAUGGACUAUGUUUAAUUAUCUUGGAUGAUGUAUGUUUGAGGACGUCGUAUGAAUUAUUUGCAUGACGUUUCUUCCAUGAUUGGAAAUUUUGAUUUUGAAUUGAGACAUUUAAAAUUGUGGAUCUAAUAUGAUUUAGUUCCAUGCAUUAGAAAUAAUAUAGUUAAAUCAGAGUGGGGUGGAACUAAAGUAAACAUAAAGUAUAUGUGACAGUGGAGAGAAAAAUGAGUUCUGGCAAUUUUGAGGGCUAUCCAGAAGAUGUUGGUACCGAUCGUGGAAAGAGACAAUCGGCUGCUAGUUCUCGUGUCUACAUUAAAACUAUUCGGAAGCACAACGAGGCUGCUCACUUGCGACAGAGGAGGAGGAAUGUUGUUUUGGAGUGUAAGAAAUUCACAUCACAUCGAAUGAGUAGUUGUCGAAUUAUCGUGCAUUCAUCAUUCACAUCACCCCCGAGCAUUUUGGAUACAAAAAAAAAA
rnacentral:lncRNA from 1 species